GGUCAGUAAGACCCAGUUCUUCUCCUGUGCAGAGGGAACUUUUACUUAGCUGGAAUUGAACCUCGUGGUCCGAGUAUGUGAAGGGAUUCAGGGUCCAGAGUGCACCCCAGAACAUAGGAGAUAGCUCUAUGUCCCCAUUUCCCUCAGGAGCCUUCUCCUCACUCCUGCUGCCUAGAACAAGGGGAGGAGAAUCUCCACUGCCUGACCUGCUGCUUCAUGCCCCUCCCUAUCUCUACUCUCCAUUCCCUCUGAGCCCUCCAGACCCUAGGAGGAGUAAGAGGGAGGUCCUUCGAGGCUUAUCUCGAUUUCCAUCCUCUCAUUCCGGUGCUGGUCAUAUCCUGGGUCAGCAACCACAGAACAUCCCAAGGCUGGGUGCUCAGGAAUCAGAGAGGAUGCCUGGACCAGAAGCCAGCACCACCCUCAGGGCUUCACUGGAGGAGCUGUCACUGGGGCCAGUGCGGUUUCCCCUACUGCUGCAGGACCAGGAGAGGAUUCGUCCAACAGUGAAUCAGAGCAGGAGGGGCCCCAGAAGCUGGUCCAUAAAGUGUCCACCUCUGGACAGAUGGGGACCAAGUAGCAUUGAUCUUCCCAGACUGAUAACUGCUGAAAUCCAGGUCACGGCUCACCUCACCAAACUCAAAGCAAGGAGUGAGGAGAGGGAGACUCUAGACAGCCACUGGACUACAACCAUCGGCUCUGAAAUAAUGAGAAACUAUUGUAAGCAGACAGAUGCCUUGAUGUCUCUGAGAAGUUGCAAAAGAGACAGCUGUCUAUGAAGAUAGAAGCUAGACCGCCUGUCAAGCUGACAUGGAAUGAAGAGCUACAGUUCCAUCUUCAUUACAUCCUGAAAUUGAGCUCCAUCUUCAAAUUGAUGCCUCAGAAUCCAUAGGAGCCAUCAAGCAAAGAAAUACACCCUGACAGGCAAAAAAGGGAUGUGGAAUGGAGUGGGAUGUUCCCAGUGAGGAGCCCAGAAUGACCAGGUAAGUAGGAAUUUCCACAACACAUUACUAGAGCAAGAAGGGGAAUCCAUUGAAAAGGUAUACUAGAAAUAUUUGAGAGAAAUAAGCAAACUUGAAAUUGUUAUGUGGGGUCAAUUUAUGAGUCUAACCAGUUAAGUACCAAUCAGUUUCUUCAUGUUCCUGGCCUUGGAUUUUUCCCCCUCUUACCUCUAGAUUCCGGAUUGUAACAUUAAGAGUGGCCACUUUCAACGAUCACCCUAGCUUACAACAGUUCCUGGCUACUUUUUUAUUCUUAAUUCCUAGAAAUCAGGAUUUUAUGCUGAAGCUUGAUUUUGAUCACAGGUGAUUAAAGUUAGAGAUGUCUUAUUCUUCCUAACCAGAGAUGUCAGACUAAGGCGGUGAAACUGGAAAAAACAUGGCCAAGUCUUUCUGUUACCUUGGGAGCUGAGGGUGGCCAUCUGGUAUCUGUCAUAUGCACCAAUCAGCUGAGAAAUUCACUCUUCCCAGGAAAUACAAAUGGCAGGAGAAGCAAUGGCUCAUCAUGGAAGCCUCCCAGUUCCCAGUGGCUCCAGUCAUCCCUUUAAUUGCUGACCCUUCAACUGCAUUUCUGCCCCUGUAUUCUAUGAUACCUUGUGUCUUGUAUAAAUAAUCCCCUCUUUCUGCUUAAGUUAGUUUGCUUUGGGUUUCUGUUUGAUACCCAAAGAGUCCUAAUAUGGUAAUAACAAGAUACUUCCUGAAACCCUGCUGUCCUCUACUUCUGUAUGUGUCCCCCACCUGCAUUCUAAGGAUAGAUAAGCUUUCCCUUAUUUCUCUUUUAGGCUUUGUAUAUUCCCUGCUUUAGAAAUCUGAGCAUCACAAUUCACAAUCCCUCUCUAUGCCUUUGCUUUGACUCCCUGGCUUUUACUCCCUAUUCUUGAAGGAAAUGCUAACAAGGAAACGGAGAACACCUGGGAAGGUCAUUUAUAUAUGCCUGGGCUUAUGAACAGAUAUGGGCUCCAUUAGUCUGAAUCUCCCAGGACAUAUGAUAAAAAGGUUAAAAAACAAGAAAGAGCCAGGCAUAUAAACAUAGCAGACAAUAUUGAAAGUCAAAAAAAAAAAAAAAGAAGGA